rnacentral:rRNA from 1 species
UACGUAGGGUGCAAGCGUUUAAUCGGAAUUACUGGGCGUAAAGCGUGCGCAGGCGGUUAUGUAAGACAGGUGUGAAAUCCCCGGGCUAACCUGGGAACUGCAUUUGUGACUGCAUAGCUAGAGUACGGUAGAGGGGGAUGGAAUUCCGCGUGUAGGCAGUGAAAUGCGUAGAUAUGCGGAGGAACACCGAUGGCGAAGGCAAUCCCCCUGGACCUGUACUGAC